GACGGAGGGUGCUAGCGUUGUUCGGAAUCAUUGGGCGUAAAGGGCGUGUAGGCGGUUUGUUAAGUCAUGUGUGAAAUCCCUCGGCUCAACCGGGGAACGACGCAUGAAACUGGCAGCUAGAGUACCAAAGAGGGGGGUGGAAUUCCCGGUGUAGCGGUGGAAAUGCGUAGAUAUCGGGAGGAACACCUGUGGCGAAGGCGGCCCCCUGGUUGGAUACUGACGCUGAUACGCGAAAGCGUGGGGAGCAAACAGG
rnacentral:rRNA from 1 species